AGGCUCAUAGGUGGAAGAAACUUGCCUUGUCUCAGAUGACACUUCGGACUGUGCACUUUUGAGUUAAUGCUAAAAUGAGUUAAGACUUUGGGAGACUAUUGGGAAGCAUGAUUUGUUUUACAAUGUAAGAACAUGAGAUUUGAGAGGGUCUGGGGCAGAAUAAUAUGGUUUGACUGUGUUUCCACCCAAAUCUCACCUUGAAUUGUAACUUCCACACUUGGAAGGAACCCAGUGUGAAGUAAUUAAAUCAUGAGCAGGUUUCUCCCAUUUAAGUCAUACAAGAUCUGCUGGUUUUAAAAAUGGGAGUUCCCUGCACAAGCUCUCUCUUUGCCUGCUGCCAUCAAUGGAAAACAUAACUUGCUCCUCCACUUUCACCUUCUGCCAUGAUUGUGAGGCUUUCCAGCCACGUGGAACUGAUUGCCUGUGUAUGGGAUGAAGACUGACCUGUACUUGCUCUUUCACAGAGUUUGCUGAAGAUUGCUGAAGGUAAGCAUCCAAUAAUGCUUUAAGAAAUAUUUCUCUGGCCACUGUAUUGGAAAUUUAAAUCAGGAUUCACAAAUACAAAUACAUAUAUAUGGGCCUAAUAGGCAAAAAGAAAAAGAAUCAGUGCUAUGUAUUGGAU
rnacentral:lncRNA from 1 species